GACGAACGCUGGCGGCGUGCUUAACACAUGCAAGUCGAACGGAAAGGCCCUGCUUUUGUGGGGUGCUCGAGUGGCGAACGGGUGAGUAACACGUGAGUAACCUGCCCUUGACUUUGGGAUAACUUCAGGAAACUGGGGCUAAUACCGGAUAGGAGCUCCUGCUGCAUGGUGGGGGUUGGAAAGUUUCGGCGGUUGGGGAUGGACUCGCGGCUUAUCAGCUUGUUGGUGGGGUAGUGGCUUACCAAGGCUUUGACGGGUAGCCGGCCUGAGAGGGUGACUGGCCACAUUGGGACUGAGAUACGGACCAGACUCCUACGGGAGGCAGCAGUGGGGAAUAUUGCACAAUGGGCGGAAGCCUGAUGCAGCAACGCCGCGUGCGGGAUGACGGCCUUCGGGUUGUAAACCGCUUUCGCCUGUGACGAAGCGUGAGUGACGGUAAUGGGUAAAGAAGCACCGGCUAACUACGUG
rnacentral:rRNA from 1 species